GCCAGUUUUGAAGCCCUUCCUCGCUUGUCUUAACAUGAAUUUGACUCAAAAAAUAUGCGAAAGAUGACAAUGAUUUUUCAUUUGACGACAAAAAUUUAAAAAUAAAAAGUACAAAAAGAACAGGAAAAGACAAUAGACAUUUUUUUUUCAAAGAUGUCAAAAACGAAAAUUUUAUCUGGGUGUGGCAACUGAUUCCAGUGAUUAUGACAUGAAUUUUGAAUUAAACAACCUGAUCUACCCAAACUAAUCACUAUCAACUUUAGCCCAGUCAUUGAAUUUGAAAUGGAGCCAUUCUUGAACAUUCUCCCUCUAGAUUACAAUCCUCCUUCAACUAGUGACACCCCAAUAGAUUUUCGCCAAAAAGACUAUCUCAUUUUCAUUGUUUUAUAAACUCACCAUCGCUUUAUGGUGUUCAUGAGGAUUUUUACUAAUAAGACUCUCAUUUUUUAUUGUUCUCAUAGUGCACUAUCGCCUUAUGGUGCCCAUGAGGAUUUUGACCCAUAAAACUCUCAUUUUUAUUAAACUCACAACUUACUAUCACCUUAUGGUACCUACAAUAUGAAACCUCAUCUACCCAUACUUUCUUAGCCUUGACAUUCUCAAAGAUUGAUCUGAAGGUCUUUCUUUGGUUGUAACUUGGAUUUUGGAUAGGGUAAGAAAGAAAGGACGACACGAGGCUAAAAAAUAUACAUGACAUUAGGUGAAACAUACAACUUUUGAAAUCGACUCUUAAGGAAAUAAAUUUUUGCCCCAAUUUUAUUUCAUACUGGGUAAAUUGAAUUUUUUACUUGGUUAGACCGUUCCCCAGAGUAGGUCUGCCUACGUAUCUUGUCAUAGCAAGAAUCAGGUCAAACGUAGUUCGGACAACUUUAGCCCUCUAAUUCAAUGUUUUAUGAUUAAAUUGAAUUUUAAGAUCUGGCUGAAAAUUCUGCUGGCAUGUCAAGCACUAGAAUCAACAUAAAAUGAAUUGAUGAAAAAAAAAAGACAAACAAACAAAUUUAAAAUAAGACAAAACAACAAGGGACACCACAUUUCAUUGAAAGAAAAAAUAGAAGGGUUUAAACAAAGACGACAAAUAAAAAAACAAGAUAGAUUCAAAACUACAACCUUGAAAUAAUUCAAAAAACAGAAAGAAAAAAAAAUAAAUUACUAAUCAUUUAUCCUAGAGAGGAGAGGAGUGACUUCCCAAUUGCUGAGCUUGUCAUCUUAGCCACUGGUUUGCAUAUCAACAUGACUAGAGCUUUUCUCACUGUCAAUAUUUUGCACCAUAAUUGAUUUAUCUUGAAUUAUCUUUUCAAUUUCUCUUUUCAAAUCCCGACAAUCUUCAAUACUAUGACCCUGAAUAUCAGAAUGAUACGCACAUCGUACAUAAGGAUCAAAAUUUUUUGAACGCCCAUUAGAAGUGUACCCAAGGAGAAGAGUGAUCAUGUCCCUUUGUACCAAUCUCUGGAAUAAUCUGACAUACAACUCUACAAUUGGUAUGAAACUAUCCCUCGACUUUUGCCUUAUUUCAUUGUUUGUCUUCCAAAUUUUGACUAGCAAAUCUCUGGCCUUGAUACAUGGCUCUAGCUUCGAUUGAAUCGUAGUAAAUGCCAACGCGUUUGUUGGGGUUCCUUAUAGUCAUGUUGAGGGCGAGAUCGUAGUAAAGGGUGUUGUUAGCAGUGGACAAAUCAAAUUGUGUCAACGUAGCAUCAGUCACGUAGAAUUUGACCUUGUUAGGACGUAGGACUUGCCAGAGGACUAACGCGAUGACUCCAAGGGCGAUGAGAAGGGUGAAGAUUAUUUGGCAGAUGCAAGUGCAGAGGCAGUUGAAGAGACAGCUACAUGGGUUGCAACUGCGACCACCACGGUUACGGUGGUAGGUUUUGGUUGGUGGCGGAAUAGAGGGGCCAUAAUAGGCUCCGUUCAAGUUAGGUUUUGGCAUAACUUAAUAAAAACAAGAAAUACACAAGAAUAUCUUGAACUUCUGUGUUUAUGAGGAUGAUGUAAUCACUUUUUCUGUAUAUGAUGGAGAUUGUGGAAUUAGUAAGCAAAAGCAAAUUAAAUAUAUAUAGAAGAAGAGGCCGUGUUUGAAAGACUCGGUAGUUUUUGUAUUUCUACCUUCUUAGAAAUUGUUCAGAUUUUGCCUAGCAAUUUCCUAAUCAAGAUUAUACGUCAUUGACUUGGUUUUUAGUCAAGACUUUUGUUAAGACUCCUACAUAUGCUAUAGAUGGGUACUUGAUCAAACUCUUAUGAUAAUCUUGUUGAGUUAGACCUUACAAGAUCGUCUCAUACCGAAUAUGAUGGCAUGUGCUUUCAGGUUUCCCUGAUCGAUGCCUCAUUGAGCUUCCUCUUCAGCCCAGGUGCAAGAAGUGACGAUAUUCCAAUUGGAGCUACUACACAAGGAAUUCUUUAUUGGCAGUUUUGGGGUUGGAAUUAGCGGAGAGGCAGUUAUGAAGAGCUGGUCUCAUCAUAGUCUAACUGUAGAUCCCGGGGAUGUAUAUUGAUCAUGAUGAGCCUCAAAAACACAAUACUGGGGGACAAGUUCGUACCCCAAAUAUACAUCAUUGACUGCAACGUAGUCAAGGCAAAAGAGAGAAUGCACAAGAAGGGUGAAAGCAUUCUCUGGCUAAACUAUUUUUCACUAAUUAACUAACAAAGAAGUUGACCUUAUUGUACCGAAUUCUAAAACUAGGAAGCUGCCAUUCAUCUAGCAUAAAUGAGCUUUUCGCAUUUGCAGGCAAAUUAUCAUACCUGUGAAAGUGAGUAGGAUGCUCUAUCGUGGUGGCUAGCUUGGCAAGGCAACCCGCUACCUUGUUACCCUCAGGAAGGCAGUGUGCAAAACUCAUAUCGGCAUCAGUAAUUCUCAGGAAAUCCAAUCUUGCCAUAUUAUACUCAUAUUGCAUUUCGUGGGUUGCGCUCAAACAUGCUGUUCUUUGGUAAUUUUAGCUUCAACGGUGAAUGAUUUAGAAUUCUCCACAUGCCGUUGCAUUGCCACAUAAACAAUGAAUCGUUGGGCUAGAUGAGCAACUUUCUAUCUCACCUCUGUAGCUGCAAUGGAACAAAGGCAAGGUGGACGUGUAAAAUUCAGAUGGUGGAUAAAUUUCACGCUCGAAAAAGCAAGAUCAAACUGUGCUCCAAUUCUUCAGAACGAGGAUGCUCAGUCUGAUGUAGAUGCAUAUCAUGACAUUUUUUUUGCGCCUCAAGUCUCCCGAUUUUGGCACAUAGAGAUGGCCUUUAACUCUUCAAAUACGAACAACUACAAAGAAUAUUCAUCCUUUUGUUUUUGUGAAGAGAACUAGUCUGCAAAAACGUUUCAAUGAAUAAUUUUUUUUAUAUUUCAUUUAAAAGGAUAAGCACGGGCGCACCUCACUAGUACUUUUAUAAGUGGUAAUAAACGUGGCUUACCACUUUUAAUUACUUCAAUGAGCGUAUAUGUUUAAAUUUGAUCUCAACCAAAUAUUGUUUUUAUCUAUCCUAUAUAAUAAAUCAUAAUAAGUUGCUC